rnacentral:rRNA from 1 species
UACGUAGGGGGCAAGCGUUGUCCGGAUUUAUUGGGCGUAAAGAGCGUGUAGGCGGCCAGGUAGGUCUGCUGUGAAAACUCGAGGCUCAACCUCGAGACGCCGGUGGAAACCAUCUAGCUAGAGUCCGGAAGAGGAGAGUGGAAUUCCUGGUGUAGCGGUGAAAUGCGCAGAUAUCAGGAAGAACACCCGUGGCGAAGGCAGUUCUCUGGGACGGUACUGACGCUGAGACGCGAAAGCGUGGGGAGCGAACAGG